GGGCCUCUCGCGUCAGGAUAUGCCUAGGUGGGAUUAGCUAGUUGGUGAGGUAAGGGCUCACCAAGGCGACGAUCCCUAGCUGGUCUGAGAGGAUGAUCAGCCACACUGGAACUGAGACACGGUCCAGACUCCUACGGGAGGCAGCAGUGGGGAAUAUUGCACAAUGGGCGCAAGCCUGAUGCAGCCAUGCCGCGUGUGUGAAGAAGGCCUUCGGGUUGUAAAGCACUUUCAGUCGUGAGGAAGGUGGUUGCGUUAAUAGCGUAUUCAUUUGACGUUAGCGACAGAAGAAGCACCGGCUAACUCCGUGCCAGCAGCCGCGGUAAUACGGAGGGUGCGAGCGUUAAUCGGAAUUACUGGGCGUAAAGCGCAUGCAGGUGGUUUGUUAAGUCAGAUGUGAAAGCCCGGGGCUCAACCUCGGAAUAGCAUUUGAAACUGGCAGACUAGAGUACUGUAGAGGGGGGUAGAAUUUCAGGUGUAGCGGUGAAAUGCGUAGAGAUCUGAAGGAAUACCGGUGGCGAAGGCGGCCCCCUGGACAGAUACUGACACUCAGAUGCGAAAGCGUGGGGAGCAAACAGGAUUAGAUACCCUGGUAGUCCACGCCGUAAACGAUGUCUACUUGGAGGUUGUGGCCUUGAGCCGUGGCUUUCGGAGCUAACGCGUUAAGUAGACCGCCUGGGGAGUACGGUCGCAAGAUUAAAACUCAAAUGAAUUGACGGGGGCCCGCACAAGCGGUGGAGCAUGUGGUUUAAUUCGAUGCAACGCGAAGAACCUUACCUACUCUUGACAUCCAGAGAACUUUCCAGAGAUGGAUUGGUGCCUUCGGGAACUCUGAGACAGGUGCUGCAUGGCUGUCGUCAGCUCGUGUUGUGAAAUGUUGGGUUAAGUCCCGCAACGAGCGCAACCCUUAUCCUUGUUUGCCAGCGAGUAAUGUCGGGAACUCCAGGGAGACUGCCGGUGAUAAACCGGAGGAAGGUGGGGACGACGUCAAGUCAUCAUGGCCCUUACGAGUAGGGCUACACACGUGCUACAAUGGCGCAUACAGAGGGCGGCCAACUUGCGAAAGUGAGCGAAUCCCAAAAAGUGCGUCGUAAUCCGGAAUUGGAGUCUGCAACUCGACUCCAUGAAGUCGGAAUCGCUAGUAAUCGUGGAUCAGAAUGCCACGGUGAAUACGUUCCCGGGCCUUGUACACACCGCCCGUCACACCAUGGGGAGUGGGCUGCAAAAGAAGUAGGUAGUUUAACCUUCGGGGGGGACGCUUACCACUUUGUGGUUCAUGACUGGGGUGAAUC
rnacentral:rRNA from 1 species